rnacentral:tRNA from 1 species
UUAGUUAAAGCCAAAGAGAGGCGUACCACUGUUAAUGGUAUAAUUGAAGAAUUCUUCUAACUAAG